rnacentral:misc_RNA from 1 species
AAAGGCUUAGUUGAGUUGAGUUCUGUUAUGCUCUAAGUAGUGUUGGAGGCUUGGAGCCAAAGCUUGAGUGGUUGACAGCUUUAUUAUCGUUUCUGCAUCUAAUUUCCGAGGCUCCUAAUAUCAGCCAUGUCCUUUAGGUGUAGUGCCGGUGCUAAGUGUGCACUUGAUUGGUUAUUUUUGAAAGCCAUAUAUAUUCCAAGGUAUUUCAAAGAAACAUCAUUCAAACCUUACCAAUUGGAACAGUUCAGUAACUUUAUUCAGUAUUUAGCUGAAUUUCUUUUUUUAAUAGCGUUAUGGAAGGCCAAUUGUGUUGUGUGUGUGUGUGUGUG